GGGAGAUCAGCUGGUCCACCCCACUGACUCCCAGAUGAGGAAACUGAGGUCCAGACGAGGGGAAGUGAGUGGCCAAAGGUGACACUGUGAGUCAGAGGCAGAUGCGGGACUUGAACCCAGGUCCCCUGACUCCUAACCCAGACUUUCUGAGAAAUGAGUGUCUUGCCACGUGCUUCCCCUUUGCCCUUUCCUCCUGGACAGUGUCAGCUGUCCUUGGGGCCAGGAAGGAGACAUGGAGGCCAGGGGUUUCUGGUGGACCCCACCACAGGGCUUCUCAUCUGAGGCACCGCUGGGAUGUUAAGCCGGAUGGUGCUUUGAGGUAGAGGCUGCCCUGUGCUAGGCCUUCAGGCCAUUUUUCAGACAGGAUCGGGACUUGGAGACCAGGGCCCAGGGAUGCCGCUUGAGGUGACAGAACUGGAAAAGAUGAAGGGAAGAAAGGAAUGUAACCCACAUUGAAUAAUGAAGCCUGACGCUUUAACCCUACAAUGGCCAUUGCUGGAUGUUGACGUAAACAAUAGGUGUCUACAGGAUGAAUUAGCCAAACGACAACUCCGGUGUGAGCAGAACGGGCUCAUUGGGUCAAGACACAAUUCCACCACAGAACGGGUUUCACAAAGGACCAUGUCCCAUCAACUCAGCAAUGAAACCAUCGUGGUCUGGAAACCUGAGAUCAGGACCCACAGAAUGACUGGCGGAAUGACAGACCAAAUGUGGAAGAUGUUCCAACCAGGAAUGAAUCACUUACUUCCAACGUUUCCUAAAGAGGCAAUGGGCUCCUGGGCCCUUUCUCACUCGGGAGGGCCUUUCCUCUGCCCCAUCAUUCUGAGGGUUUCUGGAAGGUGAGUGCGUAAGAUGUGUGUGUCUGUGUGUGUGUGUCUGUGUCUGUGUGUGUGUCUUGCCAAAGAAGGGUGCUGUUGCCUCUUCCCCUUCGCUCCCCUCAUCUCCUCUUUUCUAUCUUCUGCCCCUUUGGUGGAAAGAAGCAUCCAAGCGUGGGGAGCCUUGUUUCGGGGCCACUGAGAACUUGCUGAGCUGAGCUUGCUGAAGCUUACGAUAGCGAGGCCAGGGUGGGAUGUGGCUCAUUGUGUCAGAAAAGAGGUUCAUAGAACUCUUGAGAAUGGGAGUCCUAGAAAUAGGGCCCUAGGCCCAUCUGAAGUCUUCUCACUUGUCCCCAGAGCUUCAGGCUCCUUCCUGUCCCCCCACCUUCCUGGAUGCUGCCUGGUCUAGCCCCAUCAUCCUGCCUGCGCCAUUGCAGUC
rnacentral:lncRNA from 1 species